rnacentral:ncRNA from 1 species
CUCGUCAAUAGCAAACCCGCAGCAAUGCGGGGACGCAAAGCCAUGGGUCCAUAACAUAUGGAUCGCCAGGUUGCCGAAG